rnacentral:rRNA from 1 species
GUGCAGCGCCGCGGUAAUACGGAGGGUGCAAGCGUUGUCCGGAAUCACUGGGCGUAAAGGGUGCGCAGGCGGGGCAGCAAGUCGGAGGUGAAAGCCCGUGGCUCAACCACGGAAGUGCCUUCGAAACUGUUGCUCUUGAGUCCCGGAGAGGUUGCCGGAAUUCGUGGUGUAGCGGUGAAAUGCGUAGAUAUCACGAGGAACACCAGAGGCGAAAGCGGGCAACUGGACGGGUACUGACGCUCAGGCACGAAAGCGCGGGGAGCAAACAGGAUUAGAAACCCCAGAGUCC